CUACGGGACGCUGCAGUGAGGAAUUUUGCGCAAUGGGCGAAAGCCUGACGCAGCAACGCCGCGUGAGUGAUGAAGGCCUUCGGGUCGUAAAGCUCUGUCAAGUGGGAAGAACCUAUGUAAUGUUAAUAUCAUUAUAUACUGACGGUACCACUGAAGGAAGCACCGGCUAACUCCGUGCCAGCAGCCGCGGUAAUACGGGGGGUGCAAGCGUUAUUCGGAAUCAUUGGGCGUAAAGGGCACGUAGGCGGCCUGGUAAGUCAGAUGUGAAAGCCCGGGGCUUAACCCCGGAAGUGCAUUUGAUACUGUCAGGCUUGAGUAUGGGAGAGGGAAGUGGAAUUCCUGGUGUAGAGGUGAAAUUCGUAGAUAUCAGGAGGAACACCGGUGGCGAAGGCGACUUCCUGGACCAAUACUGACGCUGAGGUGCGAAGGCGUGGGUAGCAAACAGGAUUAGAUACCCGGGUAGUC
rnacentral:rRNA from 1 species